rnacentral:rRNA from 1 species
AUUGAACGCUGGCGGUAUGCUUAACACAUGCAAGUCGAACGGCAGCGCGGGUAGCUUGCUACCUGGCGGCGAGUGGCGGACGGGUGAGUAAUGCGUAGGAAUCUACCUUAAAGUGGGGGAUAACUCGGGGGAAACUCGAGCUAAUACCGCAUAAGCACUACGGUGUAAAGCAGGGGACCUUCGGGCCUUGUGCUUUAAGAUGAGCCUACGUCGGAUUAGCUUGUUGGUGGGGUAAUGGCCUACCAAGGCAACGAUCCGUAGCUGGUCUGAGAGGACGAUCAGCCACACUGGGACUGAGACACGGCCCAGACUCCUACGGGAGGCAGCAGUGGGAAUAUUGGACAAUGGGCGCAAGCCUGAUCCAGCAAUACCGCGUGUGUGAAGAAGGCCUUCGGGUUGUAAAGCACUUUCAGCAGGGAGGAAAAGCUCAAGAUUAAUACUCUUGAGCCGUGACGUUACCUGCAGAAGAAGCACCGGCUAACUCUGUG